CCUAUGGGUGGCAGCAGUGGGGGAUAUUGGACAAUGGGGGGAACCCUGAUCCAGCGACGCCGCGUGAGUGAAGAAGUAUUUCGGUAUGUAAAGCUCUGUCAGCAGGGAAGAAAGAAAUGACGGUACCUGACCAAGAAGCCCCGGCUAACUACGUGCCAGCAGCCGCGGUAAUACGUAGGGGGCAAGCGUUAUCCGGAAUUACUGGGUGUAAAGGGAGCGUAGACGGUUAAGUAAGUCUGGAGUGAAAGGCCGGGGCUCAACCCCGGGACUGCAUUUGGAACUGUGCUGCUAGAGUGUCGGAGAGGCAGGCGGAAUUCCUAGUGUAGCGGUGAAAUGCGUAGAUAUUAGGAGGAACACCAGUGGCGAAGGCGGCCUGCUGGACGAUGACUGACGUUGAGGCUCGAAAGCGUGGGGAGCAAACAGGAUUAGAUACCCUUGUAGUC
rnacentral:rRNA from 1 species